rnacentral:rRNA from 1 species
GGCCCAACAGCUAGCCCCACCCCUACCCAAACACAACACCCCCCUAUUAAUACCCCCUUACAGCCUCAACCACAAAAAUCUAAACCAUUCUUCCCCCCUAGUAUAGGAGAUAGAAAAGGAACUAGUGGCGCCAUAAAGAAAGUACCGCAAGGGAAAGCUGAAAUAGAAAUGAAAAAACCCAGUAUCAAAGCCCAAGAAAGCAAAGACUAACCCUUGUACCUUUGGCAUCAUG